rnacentral:rRNA from 1 species
CCUACGGGUGGCAGCAGUGGGGAAUAUUGGGCAAUGGGCGCAAGCCUGACCCAGCGACGCCGCGUGAAGGAAGAAGGCUUUCGGUUUGUAAACUUCUUUCAAGAGGGAAGAACAUAAGACUAUAUCGGUUAGAUGAGCCACCUCUAACAAUGUGCCAGGAGCCGCUGAAACACGUAGGUGGCAAGCUUUCUGCGGUUUUACGGGGUGUAAGGGGCGUGCAGGGGGGAGGACAAGUCAGGUGUGAAAUGCCGGGGCUCAACCGCGGGACUGCUCUUGAAAGUGUUUGUCUGGAGUACAGGAGAGGUAAGCGGAAUUCCUAGUGUAGCGGUGAAAUGCGUAGAUAGUAGGAGGAACACCAGUGGCGAAGGCGGAUGACUGGACUGCAACUGACGGUGAGGCGCGAAAGCGUGGGGAGCAAACAGGAUUAGAUACCCGUGUAGUC